rnacentral:sRNA from 1 species
UUCACAGCCCUGGAGACAGAGGUUCUCUAUAUAUGCACAGAGCAGAUACAAUAAGGACAGCAGCAGAGCAAGUGUCUUCUACACCAACCCAACAAAAUGCUUCAGCCCUGAGCCGGAGGAACCAGAUUCCAGGGCCCUUUAGUUCAGACUCUGCU